rnacentral:misc_RNA from 1 species
GAUGAAGAACAUAGCGAAAUGCGAUAAGUAAUGUGAAUUGCAGAAUUCAGUGAAUCAUCGAAUCUUUGAACGCACCUUGCGCCCUUUGGACAUUCCGAAGGGCAUGCCUGUUUGAGUAUCAUGAACACCUCAACUCUCACGGCUUGUCCGUGAUGAGCUUGGACUUUGGGGGUCUUGCCGGCCUGUGGUCGGCUCCUCUCAAAUGGAUCAGCUUGCCAGUGUUUGGUGGCAUCACAGGUGUGAUAACUAUCUGCGCUUGUGGUUUUCCAUCAGAUAACCUUCAGUGAUAUGGAGGUUCGCUGGAGCUCACAAAUGUCUCUCCUUAGUGAGGACAGCUCUUUGAACGUUUGAUCUCAAAUCAGGUAGGACUACCCGCUGAACUUAAGCAUAUCAAUAAGCGGAGGA